GUUUACUCCCAACUAGAAAGAUUCAAGUGGUGAUCAUACUGCGAGUGAAGCAUUUUCGGAAUGCUGCGGAAAACAAAAGGCGAAGCCAGAAGGGAAAAACGCCAAGAAUGAAUCUCAUUUCCCGUGGCAUCGGCGGUCUGGGAAGUGGCCAACUCGGAAUCUCCAACUUGGCUAAAUGGGAACUUCGCACCGUGCCACUUACAGAAAAUAUGUGCUAGUUCCCGCUUGUCAUCACUAUCUAGGUUACCUUUGCUGAAGGUAAGGGAGUACGCACAGCAGUACAACAAGCAGAUGAGGGACGGAGGGCAGGAGAGAUGACGCUGUCUUCUCUGUCGCUGCUGGUACUUAAGUUUAUGAUAUGAAGUGCCACGUCCCCUGUCCCUUCGGAGUCCCCUUCUCCGACUUCCCCCCGGAGAAUCAACCUUCGCAUUGUUGUGCAACAAAAGCGUUGAGAACUUGUUAAAAAAUGAGUGGAAUUUCGCGCUGCAUUGCACUUGGGGCACCACCGCCAGCGAAAAGGGUCUUGGUUGUUUAUGUGGAUGUGACCGAAUCAUGCGGGCCAGGAUGCCAGCUGAGGCCCAUCCAGUGGAUGGAUGGGUGCACUGGGGGAAAAAUUUAAGCCUACUUUGGUACUAUUUUAAUGGAUUGUCUGAAGGGCAAGGAUGACAAUUUGUUAGGAGCACUAACACUAUACUUCUCCAAUCUUAAUUUAAAUAAUUAAUAUGUGAUGUAAUGAUUUGGUUCAUGUUGCUCAGCUUUGAUCUUUCUUUAUCUGCAUGGCUGUGCACUGGAUGUGGAUAUUCUCCGAUCCCUUAAAACGAUCCCCAUCUGCACAAGCCGCUGUCAUUGUUGUUGCAGCAGCUCAAGAACCCGAAAAGGGUUGCACCCCAGCCUGAUGAUACGGCCACAACCACGACCACGACCCAUAUAAUAAGCUUGAUAAAAUCAACGCUCUUGUUCAGGCGCAGAGAAGAA